CCUGCUUAGCCACUCUCAACCCCACUCCAGGCCUCCCAGCUGGGCCCUGGUCAAACUCAGCCAUUUCCCUUUCUCCUUGGCCACCUACAUCAUCUUCACUCACUUGGGAAAGAAUGGUCUCCAAGGUGACCAAAUUCUUUCUCUGCUCAGGACAAGGCUCUACCCAGCCAACAUGUUUGAAACCAUUUGGUUUGAGUCUUAGCCCUCUCCACGCUCCAUGAGCAUUACUACUAGCUCAUCAGCCUGGACAGGCCCAGGGUCCCUUGCUGGUACCCCCUUCGUGUAUAAAACACGGCCCUGCCUAGGAUGGGACUCUUGAGGGUGAAGACUGUCUGCUCAGCCUCGUGGCUGAAGUGACUCCAUCCUGCCUUUACCCCUUCCGGAAUGUCUGCUCUCCUGACCUUUGGAAAUAUCACAAUGAUGACAGUGAGGAUCAUAAUGGAGAACCCAAGAGUGAUUUCUAGGUGACCGAAAGAUUCAACGCAGACUUUUCCCUCAGACUCCAGGGGCCUUUCCACCUCUGCACAUUACAGCAGUGAGAAACCUGGAGCCCACAGGACACUGGCUAGCAGACACCUUAAGAGACCUUUCUGGAGUGAGUCCUGCUGUGGAAGACUCCUGCAAAUCCAGAGGUGCUCAUAGAACUUUGGAAGGAUGCACAGUAGAGGCCAUGGCCCUGGGAGGACUGCUGGCGAUGGUGGGUAACUCCCUGGUAUUGAUGCCUGCUUUCCAUUAGCGUUCCAUCAACACAGAUUCCUAGUGCUGCUGAAAGACAGAAAUAAAAAUGUGUUAAUUUACCCAGGGAGAUCAAAACAUGUAAUAAGACUAUUGGUUCAUGUAUCAAUGUCAACAGAUCUACAGAUGAAUAAAAACACACAAUUUCAUCUUGCCAUUAAAUGA